CCCAGCCUCACGCUGUCUGAUCCGCCAAACCUCAGCAACCUGGAGGAGUUCCCUCCCGUAGGCUCGGUUUCCCCCGGCCCUACAGGCAGGACGAAGCCUUCUCGCAGGAUCAACCCAACUCCGGUGAGCGAAGAGCGGUCACUCUCCAAGCCCAAGACCUGCUUCACCUCACCCCCAAUCAGCUGUGUCCCCAGUUCCCAACCCUCAGUCCUGGACACUAGCCCUUGGGGCCUUGGCCUUCCCCCAGGGUGCAGAAGUCUGCAAGAGGAGCGAGAGAUGCUCAGGAAGGAGCGCUCUAAGCAGCUGCAGCAGUCACCUACCCCCACCUGUCCCACCCCAGAAUUGGGGUCGCCCCUCCCCAGACGGACAGGAAGCCUCACAGAUGAACCUGCGGACCCUGCCAGAGUGUCUUCCCGCCAGCGCCUGGAGCUUGUAGCCCUUGUUUACUCCUCGUGCAUUGCUGGUGAGUGAGAGCAGAGGGAGCUGGAGUGGAGACACUUGUAGAACUUAUGGGUAAGAGAAUUGGUAAGGCACUUGGAACUGAGCCUUGGCUCCAAAUGGUGCCCAUACCAUGGGCUUUCUUUUUGUAUCUAUCUAGAGAACCUGGUACCAAACCUCUUCUUGGAGCUUUUCUUCGUCUUUCAGCUCCUCACUGCCCGGAGGAUGGUGACUGCCAAGGACAGUGACCCUGAACUAAGUCCAGCUGUCCUAGGUCAGUGAGCAAGCCUCCUUUUGAGACAUGGGGUCUAGAAACGGGACCGUUCUUAACUGACAGCUUGGUACUGUCCUUCUAGAUUCCCUGGAAAGUCCACUGUUCCAAAGCAUCCACGAUUGUGUCUUCUUUGCAGUGCAGGUUUUGGAGUGUCACUUUCAGUGAGUUUCCCUGGCUGAGGCAUUUGGGCCUCAUUCUCAUCAUCUGCUUAGCUCUCUGGCUGCUUGGGAUAUAUGCUGGUGCUUAACACAGGGGCAG
rnacentral:lncRNA from 1 species